rnacentral:rRNA from 1 species
UACGUAGGGGGCAAGCGUUGUCCGGAAUCAUUGGGCGUAAAGCGCGUGUAGGCGGCUCGAUAAGUCUGCUGUGAAAGUUCAGGGCUCAACCCUGAAAUGCCGGUGGAAACUGUCGGGCUAGAGUCCGGAAGAGGCGAGUGGAAUUCCUGGUGUAGCGGUGAAAUGCGCAGAUAUCAGGAGGAACACCAAUGGCGAAGGCAGCUCGCUGGGACGGUACUGACGCUGAGACGCGAAAGCCAGGGGAGCAAACGGG